UCAAUUACAUAAGAAAAGUAAAAAUUACACUAUAGAGAGCCUGAAACAGGCAUAGACUUUUUAUCACAUGAUUAGGAAUUCCUCUCUGAGUUACGUAAUAAACCACCUCAAGUGCUAAGAUUGUUCCAUAUCCUUUCUCAUGUCCUUGUGUAUCAGAGUUUCCUAAGGACCUCUAGGGAUCCUAGGAACUGCUCACACCAAGAUUGCAUAACCAAGACAGAGUAACUGCUGCGUGGAAAGACCAGGUUUUAUGUGUCCAUGUUUAGAGGAAACUCAAGGGUCCCAAAGCAAGGGUCACACAAAAGGGACAGAAUCUAGUGAUGUAAGAGUAUAUGUGAGAAUGCUUGACAUAGAUUUAAAAGAGUUGAGUUGGAAACAAUUUUGACAAUGAUUAGUUUGAAAUAAAUAUUGGAAGGCAAUAGAAGAGUUUUCCUUAAUAAAAACCUGCUUAAUGAAGACAUGAAACAAGACAAUAACAAUUAAAGACCAAAUCAACAUACAUAGUCCAAAGAAAAACAUGGAAAUGAGGAAUUAGGGACAAGUAGUUCAUAUAUGGAAGCAUAUUUUCACACAGGUUAACAUCAAAGAAGUACUAAAGAACUUAAAUAGUCACAUCAAUAGUCUAUCACAAAGUGUUCAUGCCGUGAGCUUAACAAUAUUAGAUUUAAGGGGUUCUAAAAAAAGUUACACAUUAGGUUUAGAGGAAAGGGUUCAAGAUCACAUAGUAACUAGGUGUGCUGCUUAUAGUGUAUUGGGGGUUAGGGGGUAGGGGAGAACAGUAGUAGAAAAUGUAGGAAAGGUGUAGAUAUGUUGAAUUACAGUGUAAUAACAUGGGAAAAUAGGCAUACCAAUUGCAAGGGAGACAUCAGAACCACAAGUAGAAGCAUAAGACAAACAAAAGGAAGUGCAAUACAAAUAGAGACAUAUUGUUUUAGAUGUUGUAAAUUAAACUGAAAACAUAUCAGUAAAAAUGAGAGAAUAAAUUCAGAGUGAGGAGUGAAGAGAAAUACAAUGAAGGGAAGUAGAGCAGUAGAACAAUAGAGUAGUAGAGCAAUGUAACCACUCAAUUUUGGGUUGCAGCUCAGUGAAUAUCAAGUAAGAGAGUAUGUAUGUAUACAAGAGAGAGUUCAGAAUAUUGUAAUUGUUCGUGUCAUGCUAAAGAGAGAGUUGAGUAUUUAUAGUUUCAGAACAGGAAGGAAAAUAAGGUAAUAAGUAC
rnacentral:lncRNA from 1 species